rfam:Hordeum vulgare subsp. vulgare, WGS project CAJW01000000 data, contig: morex_contig_135816
UUUAUACUCCCUCAGUCUCAAAAUUGUUGUCUUAGGUUUAUUUAGAAACGGAUAUAUCUAAAUACUAAAAUGUGACUAGAUACAUUUAUAUCUAGACAAAUCUAAGACAGGAAUUUUAGGACGGAGGGAGUAUAAA